rnacentral:lncRNA from 1 species
AUGACACAUUCUGCAUCACUAAGCAUCAGUCAAACAUCAGGCUACAAACAAUGGCAUUUCAGAGUCAUGUACUGUAUUACUGACAGUUAUCUUUCUGUAAUAUACACAGGUUUUUGGAAUGCAACCCACACAGUAGUCACUAUUUCCCCAGCCAGGAUUGUUGAGCCCGCCAUUCACCACCCUAAGAAUGAUAAUAUGCUAACAGAGUGUGUGCAGCACUCACCAAAACCCUGAGAGAUGACAGUCACCGGUGGCUUCCCAGGACACUAAAUAGGAAGAAGUAGUGACAUGACUCAGUAACACCAAGAGCCACAUUGUGAGAGUUGAAAACUGCGUGGGGCAUGCAAUGAAAGCAGCGAAGCAGCAGGGGCAACACUAUCUAUGGACAAGGACAGUUAGAUUACAGAUUUAACACACACACAAAAUUACGCAGCAACAGCGAGAUGGCUGGAAACCUUGGAAAACCACCAACUGAACAGAACGUCAGUGUUUGGAGAGUCCUGUUUGGGAGCUGGCCACAGAUAGCGUGCAGUAAACUGUUGCCAGACGUGUUGCUUAUUGAUUUUUUCUGAAGAGCCCAUUUGAACUGGAUGUGCAUUCUGAAUCCCCAAUGAGAGUCCCAGCUGGAGGAGGCAAUUCUGGAGGCACUAUACAUAUUACACUUUAGGACUCCAGGGACCGGGAUAGGUUUUUACAAGCAGCUAAAAUGAAGAAAGAGAUCAUAUGGGAAGGUGCUAGGCUCCUAUCGUUUCCGGACAUAAGUCCUAUAACCCAGGGCAAAAGGGAAGAAUUAACUGUGGUUUUAAAAAAAAAAAAGUUGUGAUAUAAAAUGUGUCUGCAUGAGUCUCUCUAGCCUGCCAAACGGCACAUUGUGCACAGUGAGAAAACUGACAUCUUUCAGAAAGUAGACGCAGCUUACAACAAGUCACUGUCGAAAGCAAAGAAGACAAGAGAGAAACUGUAAGAAGUUAGUCAGAGACUAAGGCCUGUGAUUUACCGCCCACCCCAGGGCUUGGAGUGCUGAAACUCUCCCUAUAAAUUAUAAAUGUAUAUAAAUUAAUAAAUGAACACAGUCACCACUUCUGGGGACCA